rnacentral:rRNA from 1 species
AACGAACGCUGGCGGCAGGCUUAACACAUGCAAGUCGAACGCCCCGCAAGGGGAGUGGCAGACGGGUGAGUAACGCGUGGGAAUCUACCUAGUUCAACGGAACAACACAGGGAAACUUGUGCUAAUACCGUAUACGCCCUACGGGGGAAAGAUUUAUCGGAAUUAGAUGAGCCCGCGUAAGAUUAGCUAGUUGGUGGGGU